rnacentral:rRNA from 1 species
AGUUGCGCCCGAAGCCAUCYGGUCGAGGGCACGUCUGCCUGGGUGUCACGCA